rnacentral:rRNA from 1 species
AGUUCGGCUGGCUUCCACCACAGGUGCUGCAUGGCUGUCGUCAGCUCGUGUCGUGAGAUGUUGGGUUAAGUCCCGCAACGAGCGCAACCCUCAUCCUCAGUUGCCAUCAGGUUAAGCUGGGCACUCUGAGGAAACUGCCUGUGACAAGCAGGAGGAAGGUGGGGAUGACGUCAAGUCCUCAUGGCCCUUAUGGGCUGGGCUACACACGUGCUACAAUGGCGGUGACAGAGGGAUGCAAUACCGCGAGGUGGAGCAAAUCCCUAAAAGCCGUCUCAGUUCGGAUUGUUCUCUGCAACUCGAGAGCAUGAAGUUGGAAUCGCUAGUAAUCGCGGAUCAGCUCGCCGCGGUGAAUACGUUCCCGGGCCUU